rnacentral:rRNA from 1 species
CGGAUUGUAGGCUGAAACUCGCCUACAUGAAGCUGGAGUUGCUAGUAAUCGCGAAUCAGCAUGUCGCGGUGAAUACGUUCCCGGGCCUUGUACACACCGCCCGUCACACCAUGAGAGUUGGCAAUACCCAACGUACGUGAUCUAACCCGCAAGGGAGGAAGCGUCCUAAGGUAGGGUCAGCGAUUGGGGUGAAGUCGUAACAAGGUAGC